AUAUCAAUAAGCGGAGGAAAAGAAACCAACCGGGAUUACCUCAGUAACGGCGAGUGAAGCGGUAACAGCUCAAAUUUGAAAUCUGGCUCCCUCGGGGCCCGAGUUGUAAUUUGGAGAAGAUGCUUUGGGUGCGGCCCCGGUCUAAGUUCCUUGGAACAGGACGUCAGAGAGGGUGAGGAUCCCGUACGGGAUUGGGUGCCCGCGCCCGUGUAAAGCUCUUUCGACGAGUCGAGUUGUUUGGGAAUGCAGCUCAAAAUGGGUGGUAUAUUUCAUCUAAAGCUAAAUAUGGGCCAGAGACCGAUAGCGCACAAGUAGAGUGAUCGAAAGAUGAAAAGCACUUUGGAAAGAGAGUUAAACAGUACGUGAAAUUGUUGAAAGGGAAGCGCUGGCAACCAGACUUGCGCGCGGCUGAUCAUCCGGUGUUCUCACCGGUGCACUCUGCCGUGCUCAGGCCAGCAUCGGUUGGGGUGGUUGGAUAAAGGCCGGGGGAAUGUGGCUCCUCUCGGGGAGUGUUAGAGCCCUCGGUGCCAUGCAGCCUACCCUGACCGAGGACCGCGCUUCGGCUAGGAUGCUGGCGUAAUGGUUGUCAGCGACCCGUCUUGAAACACGGACCAAGGAGUCUAACAUCUGUGCGAGUGUUUGGGUGUCAAACCCAUGCGCGGAAUUAACGUGAACGGAGGUGAGACCCCUGAAGGGUGCAUCAUCGACCGAUCCUGAUGUCUUCGGAUGGAUUUGAGUAAGAGCAUAGCUGUUGGGACCCGAAAGAUGGUGAACUAUGCCUAAAUAGGGUGAAGCCAGAGGAAACUCUGGUGGAGGCUCGCAGCGGUUCUGACGUGCAAAUCGAUCGUCAAAUUUGGGUAUAGGGGCGAAAGACUAAUCGAACC
rnacentral:rRNA from 1 species